UACGUAGGGGGGCAAGCGUUGUCCGGAUUUAUUGGGCGUAAAGAGCGUGUAGGCGGCUAGGUAGGUCCGUUGUGAAAACUCGAGGCUCAACCUCGAGACGCCGGUGGAAACCAUCUAGCUAGAGUCCGGAAGAGGAGAGUGGAAUUCCUGGUGUAGCGGCGAAAUGCGCAGAUAUCAGGAAGAACACCCGUGGCGAAGGCGGCUCUCUGGGACGUGACUGACGCUGAGACGCGAAAGCUAGGGGAGCAAACGGG
rnacentral:rRNA from 1 species